GUGCUCACUUUGGCAGCACAUGUACUAAAACUGGAGUGAUACAGAGAAGAUAAGCAUGGCCCCUGCACAAAGAUGACAUGCAAAUUCGUGGAGCUUCCAUAUUUAA